AAAACUUUAGAUCAAGGCAGGAGGUUGGGAAACUUAGGUCCAGGCAGGAGGUUGGGAAACGUUAGAUCAAGACAAGAGGUUGGGAAACUUUAGAUCAAGGCAGGAGGUUGGAAAACUUUAGAUCAAGGCAGGAGGUUGGGAAACUUGAGAUCAAGGAAAGAGGUUGGGAAACUUGAGAUCAAGGCAGGAGGUUGGGAAACUUUAGAUCAAGGCAGGAAUUUGGAAAACUUGAGAUCAAGGCAGGAAUUUGGAAAACUUUAGAUCAAGGCAGGAGGUUGGGAAACUUUAGAUCAAGGCAAGAGGUUGGGAAACUUUAGAUCAAGGCAGGAAUUUGGAAAACUUUAGAUCAAGGCAGGAGGUUGGGAAACUUGAGAUCAAGGCAGGAGGUUGGGAAACUUAGGUCCAGGCAGGGGUUGGGAAACGUUAGAUCAAGACAAGAGGUUGGGAAACUUUAGAUCAAGGCAGGAGGUUGGGAAACUUGAGAUCAAGGCAAGAGGUUGGGAAACUUGAGAUCAAGGCAGGAGGUUGGGAAACUUUAGAUCAAGGCAGGAAUUUGGAAAACUUGAGAUCAAGGCAGGAAUUUGGAAAACUUUAGAUCAAGGCAGGAGGUUGGGAAACUUUAGAUCAAGGCAGGAAUUUGGAAAACUUUAGAUCAAGGCAGGAGGUUGGGAAACUUCAGAUCAAGGCAGGAAUUUGGAAAACUUUAGAUCAAGGCAGGAAUUUGGAAAACUUUAGAUCAAGGCAGGAGGUUGGAAAACUUUAGAUCAAGGCAGGAGGUUGGGAAACUUGGGUCCAGGCAAGAAGUUGAAAAAGUUUUAGAUCCAAGCUGUAGCUUACGAAUCCUUCAUUCCUGGCAGUGGUUGGGGAGGUUGAGAUCCAGGCAGGAGGUUGGGAAGCUUUAGAUCCAAGCUGUAGCUUGUGAAUCCUCCAUUCCUGGCAGUGGUUGGGGAGGUUGAGAUCCAGGCAGGAGGUUGGGAAACUUUAGAUCCAAACUGUAGCUUAUGAAUCCUUCAUUCCUGGCAGUGGUUGGGGAGGUUGAGAUCCAGGCAGGGGGUUGGGAAGCUUUAGAUCCAAGCUGUAGCUUGUGAAUCCUCCAUUCCUGGUAGUGAUUGGGGAGGUUGAGAUCCAGGCAGGAGGUUGGGAAACUUUAGAUGCAAGCAGAAGGUUGGAAAGCUUUAGAUCCAGGCUGGAGCUUAGGAUUCUGUAGGUUUAGGCAGGAGGUCAAGUGCUAUGAAAAUUUGAGAAAUGUCAUUUCAGGUCGAACUAUUUCACCAUCCUGACUUGAAACGUCCUUUAAACUAUAGAAAGGAGUCCCACCACAUUGGUGUUGAUUAUGAAUUUGGGUUUCCCAUUCCAAACUUGUUCAUGGAUCUGCCAUUCAUAGAUGUAUUUGUUUUUAUGUGUAUUGUUUGUACCAAAACUAUGGAAUAUAUAGCUGAACAGAUUGAGGGUAAUUCUGUAACUAUAACAACAAACAGUGAUGACAUGAACUUGCUGAAAAUUUUAGGGAUUUCAUGUAGUGAUUGGUUUCAAAGAUUUACAGUAAUAUAUACUUAAUCACAUAUUUCAUAAAAGGUCAAUUGAACAAUUUCUCCAGUCAGUAAUAUAUACCGGUAGAGGAAACUCCCCAAAUGUCUUGUGAUAUAAUUUAUUAGCAAUCCUCGGAUUUCAUACUUCUAUCAACUCAUGCUUAUAAAUUAUGAUAUCACAAGACAUGAGGCGGGUAUUCUUUUUAUCAUCCAUUAUCAUUCUUUUCAUUUGUGACAAUUCUAAAUAAUGUCAGUAAUGUGGGUUGCUAUAUUUGGCAGCGGUAGACUCGUUAACUAACAGAACGACAGUGGCGUGACAUCGCUAAUGAUAGGUUUAGCGCUAAAAUGUACACAGUGACGUAAGAAAAUACCGUCUGUCUAUAUAGAGGAUACUCCACGGGUGUCUUGUUAUUAAAAUUUGACCAAUCAAGAUUAUAAGAAGCGAUAUUUCCUAGGAGAACAUCGCCGAAGAUAUCGCAAAUUAUAGUUCCAAUGAUAUCUCCUACAAAAGCCUUUAAUGGAUGAUAAAGGAGUAUAUAUUACAGAUGGAAACAAAUUGUACAACAAAGAUAAACAGUUCAAAUGGCAGAAUUAAAACUUAAAUAAACUACAUACAAGUAGUCACUUGUUUGGCCUUGAAAACAUCGAAUUCAUCAGUCUGACAACCUGUAAUUAUUCAAUAUUUUGUGAAACUUUUAUGUUAAAUGUAUUUAUAAAAUUUAUGCUUUUCUUUUUGCUUGAAUUAUUAAAUAUUAAUAAAGCUAGCUUGUCAUUCAAGGAAAAUAACUGUACAGUGCUGUGAAAAUUUGUUGAUC
rnacentral:lncRNA from 1 species